rnacentral:rRNA from 1 species
UACCAAGGCGACGACGGGUAGCCGGCCUGAGAGGGUGACCGGCCACACUGGGACUGAGACACGGCCCAGACUCCUACGGGAGGCAGCAGUGGGGAAUAUUGCACAAUGGGCGCAAGCCUGAUGCAGCGACGCCGCGUGAGGGAUGACGGCCUUCGGGUUGUAAACCUCUUUCAGUAGGGAAGAAGCGCAAGUGACGGUACCUGCAGAAGAAGCGCCGGCUAACUACGUGCCAGCAGCCGCGGUAAUACGUAGGGCGCAAGCKUUUCCGGAUUAUUGGGCGUAAGAGCUCGUAGGCGGUUUGUCGCGUCUGCUGUGAAAGACCGGGGCUCAACUCCGGUUCUGCAGUGGGUACGGGCAGACUAGAGUGAUGUAGGGGAGACUGGAAUUCCUGGUGUAGCGGUGAAAUGCGCAGAUAUCAGGAGGAACACCGAUGGCGAAGGCAGGUCUCUGGGCAUUAACUGACGCUGAGGAGCGAAAGCAUGGGGAGCGAACAGGAUUAGAUACCCUGGUAGUCCAUGCCGUAAACGUUGGGCACUAGGUGUGGGGGACAUUCCACGUUUUCCGCGCCGUAGCUAACGCAUUAAGUGCCCCGCCUGGGGAGUACGGCCGCAAGGCUAAAACUCAAAGGAAUUGACGGGGGCCCGCACAAGCGGCGGAGCAUGCGGAUUAAUUCGAUGCAACGCGAAGAACCUUACCAAGGCUUGACAUGGACUAGUAAAGCGCAGAGAUGUGCUCCCCUCUUGAGGCUGGUUCACAGGUGGUGCAUGGUUGUCGUCAGCUCGUGUCGUGAGAUGUUGGGUUAAGUCCCGCAACGAGCGCAACCCUCGUUCUAUGUUGCCAGCGGUUCGGCCGGGGACUCAUAGGAGACUGCCGGGGUCAACUCGGAGGAAGGUGGGGACGACGUCAAAUCAUCAUGCCCCUUAUGUCUUGGGCUUCACGCAUGCUACAAUGGCCGGUACAAAGGGUUGCGAUACUGUGAGGUGGAGCUAAUCCCAAAAAGCCGGUCUCAGUUCGGAUUGGGGUCUGCAACUCGACCCCAUGAAGUCGGAGUCGCUAGUAAUCGCAGAUCAGCAACGCUGCGGUGAAUACGUUCCCGGGCCUUGUACACACCGCCCGUCAAGUCACGAAAGUUGGUAACACCCGAAGCCGGUGGCCUAACCCUUGUGGGGGGAGCCGUCGAAGGUGGGACCGGCGAUUGGGACUAAGUCGUAACAAGGGUAACCGUAAA